rnacentral:misc_RNA from 1 species
GAUGAAGAACGCAGCGAAAUGUGAUACUUGGUGUGAAUUGCAGAAUCCCGCGAAUCAUCGAGUUUUUGAACGCAAGUUGCGCCCGAAGCCAUUCGGCCGAGGGCACGUCUGCCUGGGUGUCACGCAUCGUUGCCCCCCCAAACUCCGGUUCGGGCGGGGCGGAAGUUGGCCUCCCGUGCGUGCCUGCGCGCGCGGUUAGCCCAAAAGCGAGUCCUCGGCGACGAGCGCCACGACAAUCGGUGGUUUUUUUACCCUCGUUCCUCGUCGUGCGUGUCCCGUCGCCCGAACGCGCUCUUGCGACCCUCACGCGUCGCCUCGGCGGCGCUCCCAACGCGACCCCAGGUCAGGCGGGACUACCCGCUGAGUUUAAGCAUAUCAAUAAGCGGAGGA